rnacentral:pre_miRNA from 1 species
AGCUUUCUUGAUUCGUGAAGAGACUUCGUCUCACAUCACACCAUCAGGACUGAUGACACUUCAAAAACAAGUCAAACG